ACACGACUACAUUAGAUACCCCCGUAGUCCUAGCCGUAAACGAUACUCACUAGGUGUCGGCCACGGUGCGACCGUUGUCGGUGCCGUAGGGAAGCCGUGAAGCGAGCCACCUGGGAAGUACGGCCGCAAGGCUGAAACUUAAAGGAAUUGGCGGGGGAGCACAACAACGGGUGGAGCUUGCGGUUUAAUUGGAUUCAACGCCGGAAAUCUUACCGGGACCGACAGCAACAUGAAGGCCAAGCUGAAGACUUUGCCGGAUUAGCUG
rnacentral:rRNA from 1 species